GACGAACGCUGGCGGCGUGCCUAACACAUGCAAGUCAACUUGACUGAAGGAGCAAUCUGACAGUAGAGUGGCGCAAGGGUGCGUAACGCGUAAGUAACUUGCCCCAAGGUAAGGAAUAACGUCGAGAAAUCGGCGCUAAUACCUCAUAAUGCAGCGGAUCCGCAUGGAUAUGUUGUUAAAGGUUUACCGCCUUGGGAUAGGCUUGCGUCUGAUUAGCUAGUUGGUGUGGUAAACGGCACACCAAAGCUACGAUCAGUAACUGGUCUGAGAGGAUGAUCAGUCACACUGGAACUGAGACACGGUCCAGACUCCUACGGGAGGCAGCAGUGAGGAAUAUUGGGCAAUGCUCGAAAGAGUGACCCAGCAACGCCGCGUGGAGGAUGAAGGUAUUCUAUAUCGUAAACUCCUGUGAGAGCAGACGAAAGACAGAUUAUUAAUACUGGAUGACUGUAUGCUCAGAGGAAGCCCCGGCUAACU
rnacentral:rRNA from 1 species